CUGGAUUAGUUUUAUUUAUUCUGUUUGAAUUUGAUUAAAAAGCUGUCAAACGUAAGUCUACAUUUUUAUCAGCAGAAUACUUUCAUAAAACCAGUAUGAGAUGUGUUCAACUAGAACAUACUUUUCAAAAUAAAACAAUGUUUGAUAUAUUCUAGACAGUUACCCUUUUGUUUAUCCAUGACAACUGAAACUAUCAAAUGGAUAAAGCAAUCUAAGUCUAGUCAAGUAAUCCUUAGGGCAUAUGAAAAAAAAGGCUUUAAAAAAGUUCUUUCUAGAUGGAUUUAAUGUAAUUCACCAAUAAAGCAUCCUCAGAAGUAUAAUAAAAAUUCUACAUAAAAUGACAUAGCCAGGGAAAAGGAAGAUAUACAGUUUGAUGAAGAUUCAAAAUGGAUGUUAGCAUUAAAAAUGAGCAGUCAUGCAAUUCCUGUGUAAUAUAAAGAUCAAAAUUGCAGGGCACUAAUUUUGCUUCUAAUUUAUAAGAUAGUGUGUUUAUGGGACUACAUUUGUAUUUAUAAAAAAUUCAAUGGCAAAUGCUUUGAACUGUCAUUUUUCUUGAGAAAAAUUGCCAUUCAACAUGUUAUAUUUAUAAAUUUCACUGUAUAGCAUUGAAAAUAGCUGGACUAUAUUUAUAUAUACAAAAAUGUUCUGGAAAGAUGAAAUAUAUAUGUUUUGGUUGUGAACCUGAUCUCCUUCGUUCAAUUUACAAAUUAAUAGCUUCUGCCUUCCUACCUCUUUGUGUUCUAUCCGUGUCCAAGUAACAGUAUGGAGUCAUGUUUAAGGCAGCCUGGAUCUUGGGAAAGCACAUGUGUGCACAUGCACCCCUACUCCCAACCACACUCACUCACAUCUCCACAUACACAACCACACACCCAAUUCCCUGGAGCAGCAUUAAGGCCAUUUUUUGAAUAUGUGCUAGUCUUUGCAUAUUAUUUAAUAGCAUGAGGCAUGCAUGAUGUGCUCCUAGAAGUGCUAGAAGGCAUAGCACCAAAGGGGUUAAUGUAGAACACAUAGAGGCAAAUAUUGUCAAUUAUUUUAUUCAAAUGUUUGGAACUUAAACACAAA
rnacentral:lncRNA from 1 species